rnacentral:rRNA from 1 species
AAAGCGUGCGCAGGCGGUUAUACAAGACAGGCGUGAAAUCCCCGGGCUUAACCUGGGAAUGGCGCCUGUGACUGUAUAGCUAGAGUGUGUCAGAGGGGGGUAGAAUUCCACGUGUAGCAGUGAAAUGCGUAGAUAUGUGGAGGAAUACCAAUGGCGAAGGCAGCCCCCUGGGAUAACACUGACGCUCAUGCACGAAAGCGUGGGGAGCAAACAGGAUUAUAUACCCCAGU